AGGGAUUCACCAUCCAGUAGAGGAGAAAGACGUCGAGACAGAAGACAGAAGGGAAAGGAAAAGCUCAAUGCUGUGCCUUCAACUUAGCUUCUCCAUUUUUUGGAGAAGGGUUAAUAGGGGAAGCAGAGAGAGAGAGAUGAGAGACCAAAGUUUCUAGGGCCCUUAUCUCCAGAGCAGAGGGUCUGAAACCUUAGUGAGCAAAAACUGAUCCGGAAGACUUGUUGGAGGCAUACCUUCCAGUUCAGCGAGCCAUUUCAGCAGAUUGGAGAUCCCCUGCCUGCAGCACGUGCUGAUCUCCAAGGGUGAGGCUGGAUGAAGCCAGGGGCUAUGGAAAGGGAGACUGUUUCAGAGGACUUGACACCAUCUUCAGUAAUUUCUCUGGUUCUUGGCAGCUCCAUUUGGCUGCGUCCCUACCCUGCAUAACCCUCCCAGCUAGUCUACUCCAGGGCAGCGUCCAGCUGGUGACCUGAGAGGGCAGUGGCGCACCAGUCUCCAUGAAGGUUGAGCUCCGAUGGCCAACGGCCAUUUCCACCUUGUGGUCUACAACUCUUCAUCCCGACUGCAUGGAGGUUGGUCUCUCUCUUCAGCUGGAUUUAGGCCACCAUCUGAGCCCCCGGGGUACGUUUUGUCUGACCCUGGCGCCAUUCGAACGGUUCUUCUACAGCAUCAGAACCCCAGAUAGCUCUCUCGCCCUCACUCCACCACAUGAGGAUACAAGAAGUCUGCAGUGUGCAAUCUGGAAAGGGCCCUCAACAGAACCCGACCAUGCUGACACUUUGAUCUUGGACUUCCAGGCUCCAGAACUGGGAGAAAUAAACUUCUGUUGUUUGCAUGUCA
ensembl:lncRNA PPP1R3B-DT PPP1R3B divergent transcript